rnacentral:rRNA from 1 species
GACGAACGCUAGCGGCAGGCCUAACACAUGCAAGUCGAGGGGUAACUAGAGUGAUAGCAAUAUUACUUUGGCUAGACCGGCGCACGGGUGCGUAACACGUAUGCAACCUACCUUAUACUGGGGAAUAACUUCGAGAAAUCGGCGCUAAUACCCCAUAACAUUGCGAAGAGGCAUCUCUUUGCAAUUAAAGCUCCGGCGGUAUAAGAUGGGCAUGCGUCCAAUUAGCUAGUUGGUGAGGUAACGGCUCACCAAGGCUACGAUUGGUAGGGGUUCUGGGAGGAUGAUCCCCCACACUGGUACUGAGACACGGACCAGACUCCCACGGGAGGCAGCAGUGAGGAAUAUUGCGCAAUGGACGAAAGUCUGACGCAGCCAUGCCGCGUGCAGGAUGACGGCCCUAUGGGUUGUAAACUGCUUUUGUACGGGAAUAAACCCUUCUACGUGUAGGAGGCUGAAGGUACCGUAAGAAUAAGCACCGGCUAACUCCGUGCCAGCCGCCGCCGUAAUAC